UAGAGUGUCCUAUAGCAACGCUUACAUGAAGCAUUGCCAUAAAGCCACCUAUGACAACACUUAAUUGGGAUAAAAAAGCUAUUGCAACACUUUAAAAAAAAUUUCCUCCCUAAUUUUUCAGAAAGUGCGCCAAAAUUUAAUAAAAUAUUAUUAAAAAAAAAAAACAAAUAAUACUGGGGUUAACAAAGAAAAGUUUCAAUCCACUGCGUUUCAAAAGACUGCUCCAAAUCGGACACUUUGGGUCUUCAAUCUUCAAAUCAAUGCACCAAAUUUUCAAAUCAGUGCUCCGAAGUGCUGCAUCUCAAAAUUAACAAAAACUUUGCACCAGUGCCGACUGCAUCUCAAAUCGGUGCUCCGAUCAACUUCUCCGAUCGACUACUCCUACUAUCGCUCCGACUACAGUGUUCUGAUCGACUACUGCUUUGACUAUGAGUGCUCCGACUGCUUCAUAUUGAACCCUAGCCGUCUAUUGAAACAGCAGUAUUUGGUAAAACUCUAUCUUGAGUUCGAAUUGUGUUACAUGGACUGUUUAUGGAAGCUAGAGCAGUUAAAGAUGACGGUACUUGAUUAGCUAGAGCAGUCAGGAGCGCAAGAGAUUUAAGGGACUUCAACAUCAAUUCAGUAGCACAAAUUUUAUAGGUUUUACAGGUUAGCUCCCAAGGAUCGAGCAUAAAGAUGACACUUGCAGGUGGUGGAUUGUCUUGGCAGUCAUACAAUGAAGAAAUACCAACUAUUUAUGACAGCGAUACACUUACAACUAAUGGACUAUGGGAACAGAAAAACGUCACCAGAGAUUCAUCAGACUAUCUAUGAUAUAUGACAGAGUUUCCAAAAUCAUGAAGGAGAUGAAGAAAGAAGGGAUGAAGAAAUUGACAAGAUUUUUGAAUUGUUGAUAGAGGAUUUAAUAUCGAUCUUUAUGAUUUUGAAUUUUGUGAAACUUAUUGCCACGAAUUUGAUGCUAUGUGGGAAAACUAACAAUCAUUUGAUAACAUUUUUCUUUUGGGUUUAGAUUACUAGUUUGUUGUAUAUUUUAGUUUGGAUUAUUAUUAAUGAAAGAUUUUGUUG